rnacentral:sRNA from 1 species
UCAUAGCCCCGAUGGCAGUGGCAUCCUUUGCCGACGGGGUUCGGCGGCAAAGAUAAAACGGACAGCGGGUUCAAUG